rnacentral:rRNA from 1 species
AUUGAACGCUGGCGGCAUGCCUUACACAUGCAAGUCGAACGGCAGCGGACCUUCGGGUGCCGGCGAGUGGCGAACGGGUGAGUAAUAUAUCGGAACGUAUCUUUCAGUGGGGGAUAACGUAGCGAAAGUUACGCUAAUACCGCAUAUUCUGUGAGCAGGAAAGCAGGGGAUCGCAAGACCUUGCGCUGAUUGAGCGGCCGAUAUCAGAUUAGCUAGUUGGUGAGGUAAAGGCUCACCAAGGCGACGAUCUGUAGCGGGUCUGAGAGGAUGAUCCGCCACACUGGAACUGAGACACGGUCCAGACUCCUACGGGAGGCAGCAGUGGGGAAUUUUGGACAAUGGGCGCAAGCCUGAUCCAGCCAUGCCGCGUGAGUGAAGAAGGCCUGGUGUAAG